rnacentral:misc_RNA from 1 species
UCUCCGUAGGUGAACCUGCGGAGGGAUCAUUACUGAGUGAGGGCCUUCGGGCUCGACCUCCAACCCUUUGUGAACACAACUUGUUGCUUCGGGGGCGACCCUGCCGUUCCGACGGCGAGCGCCCCCGGAGGCCUUCAAACACUGCAUCUUUGCGUCGGAGUUUAAGUAAAUUAAACAAAACUUUCAACAACGGAUCUCUUGGUUCUG